GCUGGAGGGUCCAUGAGAUGGAAGUCGGUUGGGAUGGCCUGGGCCCUGGCCAGUGCCAGGAGGCCUGGUUCCGAUGCCCUGCUCGAAGCCAGCCAGUCCCUGAGGAGAGACAGUCAGUCAGCAGGCAGCACUUUCUGUGUCUUACGCAGCAGGUGACGGCAGGGAGUCUGACCCUGCUUUUACCAUGAAAACCAACAAUCUCAGCCAGGCAAGACCUGAAGACCAAGCUGGGACACAGGCCACAAAAGCCAUCUGAGUGACAGGGAUGGGGUGCAGGCCCAACCCAAGGGGAGCAGCCCAGACUGGCCCUGGCUGGUUAGGGCCAUGCUGGAUGGAUUCAGGCCCAAUAUUACCAGUUCUUCCUGUCAAAUCCAAACUAGGGGCAAAACAUUAUUUUACUUUUUCCGUAACCACUCACGAUCCAUCCCUAUUAGUUUUGGGGUGUUUUUUAAACCGUUAUUUUUGAAUAGGCAAUAGGUAACCACCAUCACCAGUUUCUUUUGUUUUCUUUCUGGGAUAAUCAAUGUAUAUGCAAUGCAAACGAGAGCACAUGUGCCUUGUUUGAUUCACUCAGUAUUACUGCAAUUCUUUCUAACAGCAAUGAAUUCAAACUUGUUUCCAGAUUAUAUGGGUCAGCUGGUACCUCUGGUUGGAGCUGUAGAGCAUAAGAAGUUGGCCUUUAGUCCUGAAGGAGAAAACUGAGGUCAAGGUAGUGAAGGGACAGGGAAGGCUGGGGUAAGUGGCCUGGCUAGGUCGCACACCCUUGCUCUCACUUCACUGCCCGCCAAAGCUAGCUCUUUUGCUCUGGACUCAGCUGGACAGAUCAAUGGAACAGCACUGAUAUACGUGCCAGACAGCACGGUGCCAGCUGCAAAGACAACAUAAAUUUCCCAAAGGGCAGGCUGUCUUGGAGGGAGGGAAGGGUGGCUCCAGAAAGCCGGGAGGGGCACAUCAAAUUGCCAGGGGCUGCAGGACCAGGUGAGUCCAGGUGCCAGCGCAUGACUGUGGCACAAAGCAGGGGUGGCCUGGUGGAGGGACCUCAAGAUUUAAGCAGUGAGGAAAAUAACAGACCUCUUCCAAGCGCAGCUUUCCCAACCUGGCAGACUUUGGCCAGGCCCAGACCCAGGAGUCUCACCCAGGCCGGCGGGGUGAUGCCUGCCCUGCAGAUCUGAUGCAGGGUGUCGGUGACUGAGUUUACAUAUCAACACUUUUCAUUUUCCCCUCUCCAAGGAAACCAGGCCCAGAGCCUGAUCCACUUAGCUCCUCCCACACCAUCAACAAAGAUAUUUACUAUGUUCCCAACCAGGGAGCUGGCGAGGAUGUAAACGGUCUUGCCAUCCUUAUGUCCUCUACACCCCAUCUGGAAAGGGGAGUCCUUGUGCUUAUGGCCCCCAUUUCCUUAUCUAGCUCCCUUCUAGUCUGCAACAUUCCAGCUCAUUCUCUUUUAUUUAUACCUCAAAUAUUUAUAUAUACUUUCCAAAAGAGACUGGAAGCAUCUGCCAAGAAGUGUGGAUUCCCUCAGUGGGAAUGGAAUCUUUUGGGGUUUGUAAACAGGGAGUGAUGCAAUCAACUUUGCAUUUGAUUAAAGCUGCUCUGGCCCCUAACGUGGGGGGUGCAGGAGGAGCACCAGGCACUAGAAACCUGUCUGCUGUGAAAACAAAAGAUACAGGCCCUAAGGAGGGCAGGAAGCAAUGGGGAGGAGGAAAAAGAGCCUAGGACGACUGGGGAAUCUUGCUGGGUGACUGUAUGCCAGGGGCUCCUUUUUUUCUUUUUUUUUUUUUUUUUUGAGACAGAGUUUCACUCUUGUUGCCCUGGCUGGAGUGCAAUGGCACAAUGGCGCGAUCUCGGCUCACCGCAACCUCCGCCUCCUGGGUUCAAGCGAUUCUCCUGCCUCAGCCUCCCAAGUAGCUGGGAUUACAGGCACCCGCCACCACCAUGCCUGGCUAAUUUUUGUAUUUUUAGUAGAGACGGGGUUUCAUCAUGUUGGCCAGGCUGGUCUCAAACUCCUGACCUCAGGUGAUGCCCCCUGCCUCGGCCUCCCAAAGUGUUGGGAUUACAGGCGUGAGCCACCACACCCGGCCCGGGGCUCCCUUCUCAGACAUGUGAAAUGCAGGUGGGACAGGUUGGAGACAAGAAGACAUCCAGCUACACAGCACUCAGCUUGAGUGAGUGUGGCGUGGGGCUCAGGAGGCAGCUGGAGCUCCAGGCUGGAGGGAUCCAGGCACCAUCAGCAGGGAGAUGGCAGCUGGCAUCAAGGAGGGCAUGCAGUGCAUGGGGCCAACCAUGCUGGGGAUACAGAGCUCUCUAAGAACUCGCAGGCCUCUCUCCAGGAGCAGGCACCCCUCCCACCCACCCGCUAUUUCAGGAGUGAAUGUGGAAGAUGUCCUAUGCACGAGCAGCAGAGGUGGAGGCUGACCUACGAGGCUGAAUGAACGAGUCUGUGAAGGAUUCUGCCAAGCAGCCAGAGGGAGGAGAACACGGAAGGCUUUUAAGGAGUGAGACCAACACUACUAGGACGCCCCACUGGACUCAGACGAGAUGAGGCUGGAGACACAGCCACUGGAUGAGCAGUCCUGGGCACAGGUGAGGCCACAGUGGGACUGCAGAGGUUAAGUGAAUGCCCUGAGGAACUGGGUCAGUGGCUUUUUAGAUGGAGAUGAUGGCUCAGCAAAGGGAGAGAGCAAAGAAGCAGGCAGACAGAGGCAGGCAACUGUGCAUGCUCACACCAGGAACAUGGUUUACAGAAGAGGAAACGGAGCAGAAAGACCCCACCGGGACAGAAAUCGGCCCUUCCCUGUUGCCCUCCAACACACAGCCCUGCACCAGUGUGGCCCCGUCCUGCCCUCACCAGAUGCAGGCCUGGGUCUUGGUGAUGGGUCGUGCAUAACCCUCAUUCUCUUGGGGGUCAGUGACCUCUGCUGUGUUUCUGGUCCAUCACCUGCACACUGCAAACAGGUAGCCCAGUAGGACUGAGAACCAGCCGGCGCCCACCUGUGCAGACCCAACUAACCAUCAGGCUGCCCGCAGACACAAGGAGGAUGGCUUCCCGCACGUCCACCUGCUUCAGCACUCCUCCAGAAGGAGCCGUCCUUGUCCUAACUAUGGAAAUGAAGGGAACAGAGACCUCCUGGCCCAGCAACAGAGUCUGGAAAGAGGACUGGUGACAAGGAUGGCACUUGGGCCCUUUGAGGGAGGCUGACUGAGAACCAGGGAAGAUGGUCCCAGGCGUUGGUGAGUGUCUUCUGCCUGGGAAAUGAGGCCCACAGGGCAGAGCUAAGUCUAGGGGGAGGAACGCUUCAACCCAGAGCAGCCUCGGGUGGACUGGAGGCUCUAACGCUCUAGAAGAGGGCUUCCCAACCCUGGCAUUACUGCCAUCUGGGCAGGCUGAGCCUUGGUUGUGGAGGCCGUCCUGCACAUUGGAGGGUGCUGAGCAGCAUCCCUGGCCUUUGUCCACUAGACACCAACAGAACCACUCCCCUUACCCCACUUGGAACAACUAAAGACACCUCCAGACAUUGUCAAUGUCCACUGGGGGACAAAACUGCGCCUAGAUGAAAGUGAAGGUUCUAGAGCCCAAGCCCCCUGGUUCGGUGCCAUCAAGCUCUCUCACCCUCUUCCUUUCAUCCUCACCCAAUCUUCUCACGUUCUUCUCCCGAGCCUCGCUGCCUCACCAUUCUAGGCCUCCCAGUCCUCUCCCAGAACAUGAGCCCGCUCGGUGAUGCCACACAGCAGAGCCACAAUGCCACUUCCAAGAACAGUUCCAACUGCUCAAGGAUGGAAGCACAGUCACGCACGCUGCCCAAGGCAACCUGAGGAUGCAUCACAUUCUCGGAUCCUCCCCGCCCCGACAUGUGAGUCAGGAUCCUGCGAGUGAGGUACAGGACACUGCAGGGAGAGAUCCAGCAAGCCCUGCCCCUCCUAUCCCUGCUCUGGAGCCAGGGGCAGUAGUGAGGCCCCUCCCCCAGACAAAUCCGGCCCCCUAUCACCUGCGAAUGUGUCCCCACCACCCCACUCCCACACCUAGUGCUACAGGUAGUGGAGUGAUCUAAGCAAUCUGGAGGCCAGACUUUAAUGCAAAUCAUACUACUCCAGUUAUUAAAUGUUUACAA
rnacentral:lncRNA from 10 species